rnacentral:rRNA from 1 species
UACAGAGGUCUCAAGCGUUGUUCGGAUUCAUUGGGCGUAAAGGGUGCGUAGGCGGCGCGGUAAGUCGGGUGUGAAAUUUCGGAGCUUAACUCCGAAACUGCAUUCGAUACUGCCGUGCUUGAGGACUGGAGAGGAGACUGGAAUUUACGGUGUAGCAGUGAAAUGCGUAGAGAUCCGGAGGAACACCAGUGGCGAAGGCGACACGCUGGGCCGUACCUGACACUGAUGCGCGACAGCAUGGGGAGCAAACAGG